rnacentral:rRNA from 1 species
CGAGCGCAACCCUUGUCCUUAGUUACCAGCACGUUAUGGUAGGCACUCUAAGGAGACUGCCGGUGACAACCGGAGGAAGGUGGGGAUGACGUCAAGUCAUCAUGGCCCUUACGGCCUGGGCUACACACGUGCUACAAUGGUCGGUACAAAGGGUUGCCAAGCCGCGAGGUGGAGCUAAUCCCAUAAAACCGAUCGUAGUCCGGAUCGCAGUCUGCAACUCGACUGCGUGAAGUCGGAAUCGCUAGUAAUCGUGAAUCAGAAUGUCACGGUGAAUACGUUCCCGGGCCUU